CAGUCCCACCGGUGGGUAAUCAGCCUUUCGGCGUGAUUAUGUGGAGCGUGAGGAGUUAAACGCCCUCAUGGCCUGCAUAUUCGUGUUCUUUGGGUGUACUUACCCGCAUGGUAGGUUAACACCAAUUUCGAACGUCAUAAAAUGGUUGGAGGAAUGUAGCUUCGAUCUCGUAUUGAAGUGUUAUAGACUCCGGCAGAUGUGAUGAUCGGGAUUGAGGAUUGCAACGGAUACCCUUCGGGGCUACCCGUCUGAUCUCUGAAAGUUGCUCUGGUGCCGAAAGCUCGCUUACGGUCAUCAAAGUUGACGUUCAACAGGUUAGAACGGGAUAAA
rnacentral:rRNA from 1 species